CCCCAGACUCCUACGGGAGGCAGCAGUGGGGGAUAUUGCACAAUGGGGGGAACCCUGAUGCAGCGACGCCGCGUGGGUGAAGGAGCGUUUCGGCGCGUAAAGCCCUAUCGGCAGGGAAGAAGGAGGACGGUACCUGACUAAGAAGCCCCGGCUAACUACGUGCCAGCAACCGCGGGAAUACGUAGGGGGCAAGCGUUAUCCGGAUUUACUGGGUGUAAAGGGAGCGUAGACGGCGACGCAAGUCUGGAGUGAAAGCCCGGGGCCCAACCCCGGGACUGCUCUGGAAACUGCGGCGCUGGAGUACGGGAGGGGCAGGCGGAAUUCCUGGUGUAGCGGUGAAAUGCGUAGAUAUCAGGAGGAACACCGGCGGCGAAGGCGGCCUGCUGGACCGUGACUGACGUUGAGGCUCGAGAGCGUGGGGAGCAAACAGGAUUAGAUACCCCGGUAA
rnacentral:rRNA from 1 species